GAUGAACGCUGGCGGCGUGCCUAAUACAUGCAAGUCGAGCGAACGGACGAGAAGCUUGCUUCUCUGAUGUUAGCGGCGGACGGGUGAGUAACACGUGGAUAACCUACCUAUAAGACUGGGAUAACUUCGGGAAACCGGAGCUAAUACCGGAUGAUAUUUUGAACCGCAUGGUUCAAAAGUGAAAGACGGUCUUGCUGUCACUUAUAGAUGGAUCCGCGCUGCAUUAGCUAGUUGGUAAGGUAACGGCUUACCAAGGCAACGAUGCAUAGCCGACCUGAGAGGGUGAUCGGCCACACUGGAGCUGAGACACGGUCCAGGCUCCUGCGGGAGGCAGCAGUAGGGAAUCUUCCGCAAUGGUCGAAAGCCUGGCGGAGCGACGCCGCGUGAGUGAUGAAGGUCUUCGGAUCGUAAAACUCUGUUAUUAGGGAAGAACAUAUGUGUAAGUAACUGUGCACAUCUUGACGGUACCUAAUCAGAAAGCCACGGCUAACUACGUG
rnacentral:rRNA from 1 species